rnacentral:rRNA from 1 species
CGUCAUUGGGCGUAACGAAACCCAAAGGCGAAGUGAAAGUAAAGGUCUGGCUUGUCUGGACUGAGGUGAGAUCCUGUCGUUUCUCAUGCGCGGUAUCACCAAGCAUCGAGCGGCAGGCGCAUCACCGGCCCGUCCCAUGGUGUGGUGACCCUUUCCGUAGAGUUUGUCACCGGGGCGGAGCAUGAGCGUACAUGUUGAGACCCGAAAGAUGGUGAACUAUGCUUGCGCAGGUUGAAGCCAGAGAAAACUCUGGUGGAGGACCGCAGCGAUUCUGACGUGCAAAUCGAUCGUCAGACGUGAGUAUAUGUGCCAAACACUAAACGUGUCACCUUCUGGUUGGUUCCCUCCGAACUUUCCCUCCAGAUWGCYGGUGUGCARAKGGUGGAACAGAGUGAUACGUGUAAAUCGAUUGAUCACAGGCCUCGGGGGCUACACGUCCUCAGCGGUUCUCAAACAUAGAAURGGUGANAGGCCYGACUCGCCCAAUCRGAGUCAGGCGUUGAAUGUGAAUGCCACGUGGCCAGUUUUGGUCAGACAGAACUGGCGCUGUGGGAUGAACCAAACGUUCGGUUAAGGUGCCUAACGCGACGCUCAUCAGAUACCACAAAAGGUGUUGGUUGGUCUAGACAGCAGGACGGUGGCCAUGGAAGUCGGAACCCGCUAAGGAGUGUGUAACAACUCACAUGCCGAAUCUACCAGCCCUGAAAAUGGAUGGCGAUGGAGCGUCGGACAUAUACCGGACCGUCACUGCAAGMUGAGUCGAUAAUGUGUGGUGUGAGGGCAAGUCACACGASUCAGGCAUGGAAUGGUGGUGASGAGUAGGAGGGUCUCCSUGGUGAGCGGGAAGCUUCGGGCGUGAGCCUGAGUGGAGCCGCCACGGGUGCAGAUCUUGGUGGUAGUAGCAAAUAUUCAA